UACAGAGGGGGCAAGCGUUAUUCGGAAUUAUUGGGCGUAAAGGGCGCGUAGGCGGCCUUUCAAGUCUCUCGUGAAAUCCCUCGGCUUAACCGAGGACGUGCGGGAGAUACUGUCAGGCUUGAGUCCGGAAGAGGGUGGUGGAAUUCCCAGUGUAGCGGUGAAAUGCGUAGAUAUUGGGAGGAACACCGGUGGCGAAGGCGGCCACCUGGGCCGGAACUGACGCUGAGGCGCGAAAGCGUGGGUAGCAAACGGG
rnacentral:rRNA from 1 species